AUGCAAGUCGAGCGAGAAAGCUCCUUCGGGGGUGAGUAGAGCGGCGGACGGGUGAGUAACGCGUAGGAAUCUACCUAUUAGUGGGGGACAACCUGUGGAAACGCAGGCUAAUACCGCAUACGCCCUACGGGGGAAAGCGGGGGACCUUCGGGCCUCGCGCUAAUAGAUGAGCCUGCGUUGGAUUAGCUAGUUGGUGGGGUAAAGGCCUACCAAGGCGACGAUCCAUAGCUGGUCUGAGAGGAUGAUCAGCCACACUGGGACUGAGACACGGCCCAGACUCCUACGGGAGGCAGCAGUGGGGAAUAUUGCGCAAUGGGCGAAAGCCUGACGCAGCCAUGCCGCGUGUGUGAAGAAGGCCCUAGGGUUGUAAAGCACUUUCAGUAGGGAGGAAAGGGUGUAGGUUAAUAACCUGCAUCUGUGACGUUACCUACAGAAGAAGCACCGGCUAACUCCGUGCCAGCAGCCGCGGUAAUACGGAGGGUGCGAGCGUUAAUCGGAAUUACUGGGCGUAAAGCGCGCGUANGCGGCUGUCUAAGUCGGAUGUGAAAGCCCCGGGC
rnacentral:rRNA from 1 species